rnacentral:rRNA from 1 species
CGGAAACCGACGAGGUGGAGGCAAAACUAUAAAAGACGAUCUCAGUUCGGACUGCAGGCUGCAACUCGCCUGCACGAAGUUGGAAUUGCUAGUAAUCGUGGAUCAGCAUGCCACGGUGAAUACGUUCCCGGGUCUUGUACACACCGCCCGUCACACCAUGAGAGUCGAUAACACCCGAAGCCUGUGAGCUAACCGCAAGGGGGCAGCAGUCGAAGGUGGGGUUGAUGAUUGGGGUGAAGUCGUAACAAGGUACC